rnacentral:rRNA from 1 species
UCCAGACUCCUACGGGAGGCAGCAGUGGGGAAUAUUGCACAAUGGGGGAAACCCUGAUGCAGCGACGCCGCGUGAGUGAAGAAGUAUUUCGGUAUGUAAAGCUCUAUCAGCAGGGAAGAAAAUGACGGUACCUGAUUAAGAAGCCCCGGCUAACUACGUGCCAGCAGCCGCGGUAAUACGUAGGGGGCAAGCGUUAUCCGGAUUUACUGGGUGUAAAGGGAGCGUAGACGGCAGCGCAAGUCUGGAGUGAAAUGCCGGGGCCCAACCCCGGAACUGCUCUGGAAACUGUGAAGCUGGAGUGCAGGAGAGGUAAGCGGAAUUCCUGGUGUAGCGGUGAAAUGCGUAGAUAUCAGGAGGAACACCGGCGGCGAAGGCGGCUUACUGGACUGUAACUGACGUUGAGGCUCGAAGGCGUGGGGAGCAAACAGGAUUAGAUACCGAGUA